ACUGACUCUUUCACCACUGAAUUUGGAGGCGGGAAGGAAAGUAAAACAUCAAGAAACUGAAGAUUUUGUGAAGUGCUGUGAAAACACGGUUGUUGUGUGGUGCUUAGCAUUCAGCAGGAUCUGCUCUGGUGGCACUUCAGUAUAAUGGCUUCUCUUCAUCCAUAGAACAACAGCAUUGUGAGAGGAAGGUGGGUUGAAUACCCUGCUGGACCUGCCAGUUUGCUUCGUGAGCAGCACACAGUGGUUGCCCCUUCACAGAGUCCGUGUAUUCAGGUGAUUGUAAUUCUAUAUGUGUCCCCUAUAUAAAACCGUAGA
rnacentral:lncRNA from 1 species